rnacentral:lncRNA from 13 species
AUGCGCAGUCCUGUUCAGCAGUGGGAAGGACGAGCCACACCUGGUACACACGGCCUAUAUCAGCUGGUGAGCUGUGGGGGGAUAAGUGUGGGCAGACAGGCUCCGCCUCCGAUUAUACAUAUCGCCACAGGCAACUCUCUUGCUUCCCCAUUGCUAACUAGCCGUUUACCCUGUCGGCUACGGAGGAGGAGCCGCUUGCCCUGUCGGCUACGGAGGAGGAGCCGCUUGCCCUGUCGGCUACGGAGGAGGAGCCGCUUGCCCUGUCGGCUACGGAGGAGGAGCCGCUUGCCCUGUCGGCUACGGAGGAGGCCAAUUGUGGCCAAUUGUGCGUCGCCCCAUGGACCUCCCGGUCGCGGCCGGUUACGACAGAGCCUGGGCGCGAACCCAGGGACUCUGAUGGCACAGCUGGCGCUGCAGUACAGCGCCCUUGGAAAAUAAAAAUAAAUCAGCCAAGACCUCUGGGGGGGGGGGAAUAAAGAAAUCGGAUCUAAUUUAGAGUCCUGUUCAUACUGUAACCACGUUUGAACAGGCAGAACUGAUCUGGUUUAGAGGGUCUUUGUCCCAACCCCAUUUCCCCAAACCUCUACACUCCAGGGCAUGCUAUUGUUUUAAUUAAAUAUGAUUUUUUUCUCACAGCUACAACAGAGACGAAUGAAAUGUUAUUUCUACCCUCGUUAUGAACAAGUGACAGGGUUCGUCCAGUGACAUGACAGAUUGGGACCUUUUAAUGACACAACCACGUUCUCUGUCCCCUCCAGCUAAUGGAGGCUAUGAACAAGUAUUUAUGUCCCCUUGCAGCUAAUGAAGGCUAUGAACAAGUCCAAUGAGCACGUCUUGGCCAUGGGGGCGUGUUUCAACGAGCGGGCCGACUCCCACCUGGUGUGUGUACAGAACGAUGACGGAAACUACCAGACACAGGCCAUCAGCAUUCACCAUCAACCACGCAAAGGUAGGGUCGACACACAACAACGUGGAGUCAUAGUCUGGGAAGUGGACUAACAAAACCAUAGGUGGCGUUAGUGUUGAAUCCCGCCCCUUCAGGUGGCUUACGAUUUAUAUGGAAAUGUCAUGCCGAUUUUAAAACCAGUAUUUGUUGUUUUUCU